CUUCGUGUGUGGGUAGCAGAACCUCCAGCUUCCAGCAGAACGGGGGGAUGCUAGUGAUCAUUUGUGGCUGGGGUGGAACAAAAGCUAAAAUAAAGACAAAUCUCAAGGGGGCAAAAGGUGCCAUUUAUGUCCGGUGAACUCCUCUCCCCUCGCUGCUCUUUCACUUGCGGAAGGUCUCAGGUUACCUCCUCUGAAGGUCUUUCUCUGCCUUACUUGCUUCUCUUCCUCCCAUCAGAGCCUGCCCUCGCAAAACCCGAUCUUGAAGAAUAUCACCGACUACCUGAUUGAGGAAGUGAGCGCCGAGGAGGAGGAGCUGCUGGGGAGCAGCGGGGGCGCUCCUCCUGAGGAGCCUCCUAAGGAAGGGAACCCGGCAGAGAUCAACGUGGAGCGGGAUGAGAAGUUGAUUAAGGUGCCAGUGGCAGCGCGGGGCACGUGGGGGCUCGGGCGGUGAGGGCAGGAGCUGAACGCUCGCAUUCACUUCCCUUAGGUCUUGGACAAGCUCCUCCUUUACCUGCGCAUCGUGCAUUCCUUGGAUUAUUACAACACCUGUGAGUACCCCAACGAGGACGAGAUGCCCAAUCGCUGUGGGAUCAUCCACGUUCGGGGGCCCAUGCCACCCAACCGCAUUAGUCACGGGGAAG
rnacentral:sRNA from 1 species